AUAAAAUAAUACUGAGUAUUUGUAGUUAGGAAAUUUUAUUACAUAAAAACCUCUGAAAACCGCUGAAAAGAUUUUUCUAGACACAUAGUGUUACUAUACUAACCCUACGUGUAGAUACUAUAAUUUCACUGUAGAGAACACGUGGUAGAGAACGUCAUACGCUAAGACGUAAAAAAAGAAAUAAAAAAAACACUAUUUUUCACAAACGUUUGCAUUUAAACCAUUAUAACUUUAUUGUUCUUCAUACUUUUAAUUUAUAUUUUUUAGUUUUUAACGCCACUGUUUAAAUAAGCUUUGUCUAGCUUUCUUUCUUUUCUUUUUGCAUGGUGCGACAGCAAUUUCGACACGUCUACUGAAAAAAGACGACAAAAUAAGAAGGGCUAUUGUUCGCGCCAGAUUUGCAUCACUUGUGCCGCGUUGCACCGUCCGACACUUAUUAAAUACGCACUCGGUUCGCUGUAAGAGCAUGGCAGCUGGUCGUUCCUCAUCAGAAAUUUCAGGGGUUAACGAAGAGCAGAGGAAGAUGUUGACAAUGAGCAUGACGAGCAGCAGUACGGCCAGGCAGAUGCAGAGGCCGAUGAGCCACGGGAAACGCCACUCCGUGCACUCACGCAGGGGUGCUGACACUGCAGAAAGUGUGAGAAGGAAAGGUGU